rnacentral:misc_RNA from 1 species
GGUUUUCAUCACGAAGGAGGGCAGAAGGAAAAACGGAAACAAAAAGGGCGACACGGCCGCUCUUCUGUGUGUCGUGUCGCAUUGAGCGCUUACGACGAUUAACUCCUCUCUCGCUCUCCGGACGUGUGCACAUACCUCCUCCCCCGACACGCACUCACACACACGCGUACCAUUCCUCACUCAAUUCGUGAUCCUGCCUUCGACUCUCGCCUCGGCAGCGCAUUGCCUUUGAUGAGUGCAUACCCCCUCUCUGCGAACGUUCUUGUGUCAACAAGUUUGCAUCUCUUUACGCAGGGCCUUGUUAUUACUGUAUUUUCGUGGCUAUCUGUGCCUUCCUUUUCUUGUUUCCUAGACCUCGAUUGUACUUCGAGCACGUUCUGUUGUGUGCUUUCGAUCCGGCGCAUGUAUGCGUGGCGAUCCACCAGCUAACGAGCGUCUCUCUUCUUCGUUCUCUCCCGUCUUCUCCGUGCCCAUUUUUGUUCCAGGAAGGGGGUGGAGGAGCGCUUUUUUACCCUUGUUGUUGGCUGUCUUCUAUUUUCACCGCAUUCCACGCCCUCCUCUUUCUCUCUGGUGCGCUCUCUAUCUCUGCCUGUGUCUGCUCAUUAUCAAGUGUGUGUGUGGGGAGAUAUAUGGGUAUAUGUUUAUAGUUUUUCCUCUCGUGUGUGUUUUCUCGCCUAGACUAUCGCCGUUACAUUUUGUAUUUUUUUUUUCGUUCAAGGCUGCGUUGUUGGUGUGCGUUCUCUCUCCUUCUGUGCCUGUGCCUGUGUGUCCCUUCCCUUCUUCGCUCCUCCACCUGAGUUGGAGCUUCGGUACAGCCCGAGCUCUUUUCUCCCUCUUUCUCCGUGUGUGGAUUUCUCCCCCUGCCCCCGGUUUUGUUGCGACACGGUCGCGCGUUGCGUUUUGCAACUGCAGCGACAUUUGUUUUUUGUUUUCUCUCUCAGCUUUCUCGUUCAAAGGCGGUGUUUUCUCCUUUUCGUGCGGCGUGCGUUCUACUCUAGUGUGGGCUGCGCUGCUUGCCCCCGCGUCCCUUGCAGCGCUUCCAUCCUCUCGCGCAUUUGCUGCACUUCGGUUGUCUUGUGCACACCCUCGUAUAGAUUGGGUCUUCACUCAGAUAUGGCCGGAUAUGUUUUGCAAACGCCGUUCCCGGCGACUCGUCUGGCACCGCCUUCAUCGCCGCUCGGGGCAUCUGCUGCUCAUCACAGUAUUUUGCUGCGGCGACAAGCGCUGCGGCCCGUUUCAGCAGAGGAGGAUGCUCGUCUUUUCGACGAUUUGCCGAUGCCGUGCUUCAGCGCUUCUCAGCACCGCACCGUGUCACCAACGAAGCAUGAUGCACGCAAGGCGGGACUGGAGGUCUCACGCGCGGUCUUCACGGAUGCAAGUCUGCAGAUGAGCCCAGGGACGGCCAUCAACAACAGCGUACGCGUCUCGUCCCUGCGCUCGGGCUCGGCUGGGCUCGGGGAGUCGCUCCACGUGCCUCCGUUGUCUGCGUUUGAUCACCCGGACGCGUGGCUGCGCGAGUACGCGUUUCUUCGGGCAAAGCUUAAGCGCCCGGCGGACUCGGUGACUGUGUAUCAUGACUACGCAGCCCCCCUCAACUCGCGAGCGACAAUGCGCCAUGCCUGCGUGGUGCACCCGCUCCCCGACCUGGAGAAGGUUCAGGAGGCGCUCCGUCGCCGUUUCCAGGCGCACGCGCCAGCGACCUCGUACGACGUGUGCGAGCAGCAAUGCGCUGCUGACAGCUGUGCUCCCACGGAGUGGGACGACGAUGCGGUGUCCAUGGCGGCGACCCCGGAGACAGCUGACGCGGUGCGUGGCGCGCAUCGGGAGCAGCGCAACGACAUGUUUUUGCCACCGGCAACCUUGUGGUGCGUCGGUGGCUCGAGCUACGAGAACGAGAUUGUCGUCCGCAACACCGUGACGGGCCAACGCCUACUCCGGAUUCUUGAUCCCAAAAUGAGGGUUGCUGUCACGGCCCUGCAACACGCGCCGUUUCGCGGAUUCAUGAAGACGCACCAGCUGCACGUCCUCCCUGUGAGAGAGCCCCACGAUGUGUUGCGACUAAAGGCGUCACAGCUUGUAUUCACAGACUACAUGUGGUGCGGCUUGCAGGAUGGCAGUGUGCGACUGGUGCCUGCAAAUCACCACCACAUCCGCGCCUGCGGGGCCUCGUCGCUGUUUUCCAAAGCCCCCUCCGCCGCCCUCGUAUACGAACUGCCGCGCUACCAGGGCGGCGCCAUUGUAUCGAUUGUUUGCAGCCCCUGCCAUGACGCCGCGUGCGCCUUCGGCGACUCUCCAAAGUGGGGGCUGCCGAACCGGCUGAGCAACGCGAUCCAGUGCAUGACGGCGGUCCUCAGCGCCGGUGCCGAUAGUGCCGCAGCUGCCGGGCAAGCUGACGGUGAGCCUGUGGAUCCGGCCUCGCGUCAGCACCUCUCGCUGGUCUGCAUUGCUGCGACGGAUGCCAGCGUCGUUAUCUGGGACGUUCGGCAGGUCUACGAGGCAGUGGCAACAGCUCAGCAGCAGCGGCAGGAGCAAAACGAGGGAACCCACAUCAGCGGCGCAUCGGUGUUCCGUCACGGCGCUGCAGGGCCGCUGACUGUCGGCGGUACCGCUACUUCUGGGACGCCCUUUUGCUUCGAUGCAUCUGCUUCGCUGUCCGGCGCGACGGGAGUGUCCAGCGACGUCAUUACGUUCGACUGCUCCUCUCCUGUGCCCGGGCUGCAGAAUAUGCAGGUCCGGUCGAGCUGCACUCUAAUACAGGUGAAGCCGCUGGCGAGGCUGAGCGGCGGCUUUGCUGGCCUCACGGCUCUCCGGUGGGUAUCCUCGCUCGUCGUGGCAGGCGGCUGCGACGCAGCUGCGAGUCGCCAUGCACGGAUGGCGGCGCGAGACCCAUGCACGGUGCCGUGCAGGGGGGAGGAAACGCCGCGCAUCGAGCUUACCCAGACGAAGACGCGCUUUGACAAGCGCGAGGAGCAGCGCGGCGAGCUCGAGUUGACGGAGGAGGAGAUGCAGGGGGUGGAGCGGGAGCUGGAGCACAUGAUGCCGCCGCUGGCUGCCGAGCCGGCGCAGUCGCUGCGCGUGAAUCUGCUGGUGGCGUCGGACUGCAUGGGCACCGUACACCUGUGGAACCUCGACGAGGAGCUGCAUCGGUGCAGCGAGGUGAAGGAGAGCGCGCUUGGGUGGCCAGCCAGCUCAGGUGCUUUUUACUACUCCAGUUUGCGGUCGAUGUCAUCUCGCAGUGACGGGCGCUCGGCCGCGAGCCACGGAAGCGGUGCGUCGCAACCCACAUCAGGGAUAUCCAACGCGAGCGCACGGCGCACCUCAGCGUCCAAGGGCCAUGGCGGGACUCGCAGGUCGGACCGCGUUCCCAAGAGCCGCCGUGCGUGCAGAGGUCUUGGCCUAGCGGAGGCGCGCGAGAAUCGUGCCCGCCUUUCCGAACUGCCCUCCAACAGGCCCACCUUGGGGCAUAAGUCUGACGGCGAGGCCGCUACCAUACACAAGAACCUGCAGCGACCCUCGAUCGGCCGCAGCAGCACCGAGGAGCACGAUUCGUCACAGUCGGCGCAGGGUCGGUCGCCUCAGCUCACUGCGGAGCGGGAAGGCGGGCGGCUGAGCGACGGCCACGGCACCUUGCCUGCCCUACCCGCCUCACACAAGUCUCUCGUGGCUCCCUCGGCAACGGUCCAGCAACACCCACCGCUGCACAACGCACUGCCGCCUAACCAUCCAUCAUCGGCGAAGAACGCCGUUCCCGUGUCCGGCCCUGUAAAGGCAAAGAAGUUGAAGAAGAGCCGUAACCCUGUCCACGAGACGUCUGCUUCUAUGUUCCGCUCUUCUCUGCAGAGCACCUCGCCGUCGCGCGGCUCUGCUCAUCGGCCGAGUACUUCUCCAUGCCGCCUUUCGGAGUCACGUCACCCCGCGCAGCCGCAAACCGGCAUGCAUUCCCGCGCCAGUGUGCAACGCGGCGCCUCUAUCACGGCGAGGAAUGCGUGCGGCACUGGCAGCGCCGGGCAGGACUUGCUGAUGCCUACGCAGGCAGCCAAGUGCCAGAUUCGAUUUGGGCAGGGGGCGGCAGCGGCCAUCGCCGACGUGGCGGUCGACCUGCCGCCGUGCAUCCGCACAACAUUGCGCCGCAUCCCAAAGCCGUCCAACCGAGUUGCGUCGUGGCAGCAUCGUCCCACAGAAGAGGAGGUGGACUCGCGGAUUCUGGAGAAUGAGUUUGAGGAGCUGACCGAAGAAAAGGCGCUCUUUUUCGCCUUCCAGCGGCUCGAGAUGUACGUCGCUGUUGACGGUGCCAUGUCGACGGUGCGCUGUGUCCCGCAGUGGCUACUGCCAGACGAGGACGAGCAAGAGCUGUUUCGGCAGCGGAACAGCGACGACUGGAGGGAAGCGGGUGGGGAUCUGACUACGCAGGAGACGACAGGGGCGGCGGUACGAGGGUGGAUGGCGGAGGCGGCGAUGCCGGACCGUGUGAGCAUGGGCGCCUUCGACCUGCACCUUCGCAAGCGCCUUCUCGACGUGCACGCACAGCCCAUCACACAACUGUUUUUGGACCCGUGGCAAGGUCUGUUGUGGGUGGCGCGUGAGGACGGAUUCGCGUCGAUUUUCGCAACGCGCGACAAGAGCGUCGUCUCUCGUAUGCCUCACCCCUCCGCGGACGCUCUUCUUGCCCCACCUUCAGCGCAGGAGUGGGUGAAGCUUCAGGAGCAGGCGUUGACGCGCAGCCACCCCAACGACGCGCGGGCGGCAAACGGCUUUGGGCUCGAGUGCCACAAGGAGUGCCGUGAUCUCCCUCCGACCCACCUCACACAAGUCCUCCCAAUCGCGGUUCGACGGCAGCGCGCACUGCUGCUGGGCUGUAGCGCUGCCGGCGGCUGUCAUGACAGGAGAUCGGAUUGUCUGGCCGCGGCGACUGUCACAGAGUCACCAGGCCGAUCGUGCCAGCGCACACUGGCGCUUGCAGAGUCAGUAGCGGCCCGUGAUCCUCCCAAGUCAUCGGCACUAAAACUGCUGCCGUCACUGUCUUGCAGCAGCGACACCACGAAGAGCAACAGCGGAGUUUUCAGCGCAACGCGGUCAUGUGAUGCGGUGGCCCUCGUUUGCGUGGAUGGCCGGUCGGACAUGAAGAAUCUCGCAAAGUCACGAGAAGCCCAGCAGUGGCGGUGGCUGCGGCAGCUGCAGCUGUGCCGCGCCGAGUCAGCUGCCGUGUGCCAAGCACAGCGGCAUCGCUACUACGCCCUGUGCGAGGCCAUUGGCAGGAAAGCGGUGCACGUCAUCCAGGAGCUGGGUCACUACGCCAUCCAGUCCCGCCUUCGCACAUACUUUCACCUGUGGAAGGAUCAUCUAGCGCUGUUUCAUCACACGCACCUCAUGCGGCGGCAGCGCACAGCGCGACUGGAACGCGAGCGCGCGUUGGCGCGUCGCUUGGAGUGCGCUCGCAUGGCGCAGGUGCGUGGCGCGUACUAUGCGCGGUGGCAGCGCCUUCUUGCUGGUCGGAAGUGCCGUCGUCAGGAGGAGGCGCUGACUCGGUUUGCGCGGGCUGCGGCGACAGUGUCGCAUGGCCGUCGCACUAGCCGCGGCAGCUGCUGUCGUGGCCCCCUUCCCACCGCGGCGAUGAUGGGGCGUUUCCAUCGCUUGUCAGCUUUACGGGCGUGCUGGAGGACGUGGCAGGCGUGGGCAGACACCAAAAGACUGCAGCGGCAUCGCCACAAGGACCUGAAUGCCCUGCAGGAGUACCCGCCGCCCCUCUCACGCACCCGCUCUCUCACGUCAUUAGCGGCUUCUAUGGCGACAACACCUCGCUGUGUUGUAUCGGGACAUCGUGGCUGCGCCGACGGCGUUGCAGCGGAAGGUACGACGGCGCCAUUCCACUCGAUUCACAGCGGCGGCGUCUACGUGCGCGCCGCGUCACUGUCGUCGCCUCAGGGGAGCGCCUACAGGCCAACUGCAUCGGGCAGAGGUGCUGCGACUCCUCCGUCUGCUCGCACGCCGGGCCUGACCGAAGCUGUUCCGACCGCGCCCCCGCCGGCGCUGGAGGUUCUUCUCGCCGAGCUGCUACGUGCCCGCGUUUUCGUGUUCCACUUUAGCGAUGCGCGCAGCUCGGCAACCAGUGUGCUGGACGAGUCGUGGAGUGUUAUUCUGGAAAAUGCCGAGUCUGGCGCUGAGACCGACGACGAUGACGAUCGCCGCUUCAGCGUGUUUCGCUUUGCGCUUCUGCCGCUGCUGCAGGGACUCAUCUCCACGGCGGAAGAGGUGUUGCCGAACCUGUUCAACGAGUCUGUAGCGGAGGAAGUGCUGUCGAUGCUGGUCGGCAUCGUACUGGCAAUGGACUACGUGACAGCGAACGCUGAGGGCACGUGGUGGACGCUGCGUGAAGCGGCUGUGCUGACAGGGUGCUCGGCUUUCGUUGACGGCACCGAGCCGAUGCGCAGCGCCUUUGACGCGUCCCUUCUGGUGCUGCGAGCAUACGCGGUGCGCGCCUUCGCGUUAGACCCGGAGGCCGCUGAGGUGUUGCGCGGGCUGGCAAAAGGCAAGAAGGUGCUGGCGCAGUUUCUUGACUUCGCCAUGGAACGGGCGGUGGCGAGACGGAUGGAGCAUCUCUAGGCUGCACUUCCUCACCCGACUGAAGAGGCGUAAGAGAAAACGAAGCGCUUGUGCUUAUCUAUGGGGCGCUGCGCGUCUUCGCCCUCACCCUUUUUCCUACUUAUCGCACCGUGCAUCUGCCACUUGUAGCGCGCCGCGGUGAACCUCUUCGAUCUUGCACGCUUGCGCAAGCUGGCACGAGCACAUGUGCGAGCGCCUGCUUUUUUAUCUUGCGGCACGGUGGGACGACAUUGCCCCGCUGCAGAGGUCGACCGUGUAUGCUAAACGAUGCCUCCCCGAGCUGCCACGUCUUGAUAGGCGCUUCUUCUGCCUUGUUUCCUUUUUGCUUUUCUAGAGCGCCCCUUUUCUUUGAAGACGGGCGGACGUAUGCGCUAGAGCGUCGAGGUUUGAAUGUGUGUAGGGCGGGGGUGAGUGAGGGCAGCACUAUCUGUGUUGACGCGAAUGCCUCACGGAUCAACGACGUCUCCUCGGAGCGGUGUCUCGGCUUCCGCCACUCGUUCCGUUCAUGGGCUUUCUCUUCCCCCUUGUCUGCUUGUUGUAGUGAACUGCGUUGGUACCGACGUUUAGAUCCCCGCUUGCGAAAGUUGUCCGAAGAAAGAGGCGGAGGGCAUCGUUGAGAGCAAGAGGAACCUUUUUGUGCACGUGCGCGAUGCUGUGAUGAAGGUUUGCCGACAGGUGAGCAUGUGCU